UGGGCUGUCGCCAAGCGGUAAGGCACGGGACUUUGACUCCCGCAUUCCGCAGGUUCGAAUCCUGCCAGCCCAACCA
rnacentral:tRNA from 1 species